AAUGGACGAAAGUCUGACGGAGCAACGCCGCGUGAGUGAAGAAGGUUUUCGGAUCGUAAAACUCUGUUUUCAGGGACGAAUGUGUGGAUUGUAAAUAAUGAUCCAUAAUGACGGUACCUGACAAGAAAGCCACGGCUAACUACGUGCCAGCAGCCGCGGUAAUACGUAGGUGGCAAGCGUUGUCCGGAAUUAUUGGGCGUAAAGCGCGCGCAGGUGGGAUAAUCAGUCUGAUGUUAAAGUUCGGGGCUUAACCCCGUGAAGCAUUGGAUACUGUUAUUCUUGAGUGCAGGAGAGGAAAGUGGAAUUCCUAGUGUAGCGGUGAAAUGCGUAGAUAUUAGGAGGAACACCAGUGGCGAAGGCGACUUUCUGGACUGUGUCUGACACUGAGGCGCGAAAGCCAGGGUAGUGAACGGGAUUAGAUACCCCGGUAAUCCUGGCCGUAAACGAUGGGUACUAGGUGUUGGGGGUAUCGACCCCUCCAGUGCCGGAGUUAACGCAAUAAGUACCCCGCCUGGGGAGUAG
rnacentral:rRNA from 1 species